CGGCUGAGGUCAGCGGCGGCUGAGGGGUUGACGUCAUCUCAAUUUUUUCAACGUGACUCAGUAUGAUGAGACAUUUGUUUCCUUUUACCGACACCUUCCUCAUUCUCAUUUUUUGUUCAGUUUUUCGGCGUCAGACACGUACUCAGCAUUAGAAGAUAGAAUCUUUUGUUUGAACCUGUCAUUUCAUGCAAGCAAAGGAAUUGGAUCAUGUUACUGACAGACUGCUUUCAUAAUAGUUAAGAGGUGUAACCAACAUGAAACCAGAGACCCAUCUAUUGGUGAAAAAUUAAGAAAACUGCACAUGCCCCGCUAAGAUGGUUGAAGAUCCAGAAUCACUUGCAAGCGACGGCUGGACUACACUGUCUGAAACACUUCCAUGCAGAAGAACUACAGUAUUAUGCAGAAACACCUACAUCUGACACAGGAGCCUUGGGACUUACCAUCGAUGUUGAGCAUCAUCUUCCACAUGGCGGGUCUCACCGACUGGUGGAAGCCGAACCACACCUCCCGGCCGCCCCCCAGAGGGUGGUAGUAGCCCUCGGGCGGAGAGAAGAACGAGCGA